GACGAACGCUGGCGGCGUGCUUAACACAUGCAAGUCGAACGAAGUGGCGGACGGGUGAGUAACGCGUAAUCAACCUGCCCUUCAGAGGGGGACAACAGUUGGAAACGACUGCUAAUACCGCAUACUGAAGGAGGGGUUUGCGUCGGAUUAGCUCGUUGGAGGGGUAACGGCCCACCAAGGCGAAGAUCAGUAGCCGGGAUGGGAGGAUGAACGGGCACAUUGGGACUGGGGAACGGGCCAGACUCCUACGGGAGGGAGCAGGGGGGGAUCUUCCGAAAUGGAGGAAAGUCUGAAGGAGCAACGGCGGGUGAGUGAUGACGGCCCUCGGGUUGGAAAGCUCUGUUAAGCGGGAAGCGGUACCGGAAUAGAAAGCCACGGCUAACUACGUGCCAGCCGCCGCGGUAAUUC
rnacentral:rRNA from 1 species